AGGAGCUCACAUGAGGGCAAAAUAGGAGAAUCUAAAGACUGAAUUCUGCAGUCCUCCGUUCAACAAUAGGAAGACAACUGAUAUCCGGUGAGAAUGAACACAGCUGAUCACCGCAAUGGAGCCCCUUAUGUUUCAGGUAGAACAGUGGAUCCUGCCACAGAAUGGGACUUCUAUGGAGGGGACGGGGCUCUGUCAGAAAGCACUUCCAACAGCCGGCAGUCCUCCCCAAACUGCUUCAUCA